rnacentral:rRNA from 1 species
UACGGAGGAUGCAAGCGUUAUCCGGAUUUAUUGGGUUUAAAGGGUGCGUAGGCGGCAGAGUAAGUCAGCGGUGAAAUUUUGCAGCUUAACUGUAACAGUGCCGUUGAUACUGGGGAGCUAGGAUUUGGUUGCUGUGGGUGGAAUGUGUGGUGUAGCGGUGAAAUGCUUAGAGAUCACACAGAAUAUCGAUUGCGAAGGCAGCUCACAAAGCCAAGAUUGACGCUGAGGCACGAAAGUGUGGGGAUCAAACA